GAUUAAGUUAUUAAGGGCGCACGGUGGAUGCCUUGGCACUAGAAGCCGAUGAAGGACGUUACUAACGACGAUAUGCUUUGGGUAGCUGUAAGUAAGCGUUGAUCCAGAGAUUUCCGAAUGGGGGAACCCAGCAUGAGUUAUGUCAUGUUAUCGACAUGUGAAUUCAUAGCAUGUCAGAAGGCAGACCCGGAGAACUGAAACAUCUUAGUACCCGGAGGAAGAGAAAGAAAAAUCGAUUCCCUGAGUAGCGGCGAGCGAAACGGGAAGAGCCCAAACCAACAAGCUUGCUUGUUGGGGUUGUAGGACACUCUAUACGGAGUUACAAAAGAACAUGUUAGACGAAUCAUCUGGAAAGAUGAAUCAAAGAAGGUAAUAAUCCUGUAGUCGAAAACAUAUUCUCUCUUGAGUGGAUCCUGAGUACGACGGAGCACGUGAAAUUCCGUCGGAAUCUGGGAGGACCAUCUCCUAAGGCUAAAUACUCUCUAGUGACCGAUAGUGAACCAGUACCGUGAGGGAAAGGUGAAAAGUACCCCGGAAGGGGAGUGAAAGAGAACUUGAAACCGUGUGCUUACAAGUAGUCAGAGCCCGUUAAUGGGUGAUGGCGUGCCUUUUGUAGAAUGAACCGGCGAGUUACGAUCUGAUGCAAGGUUAAGCAGCAAAUGUGGAGCCGCAGCGAAAGCGAGUCUGAAUAGGGCGUUGAGUAUUUGGUCGUAGACCCGAAACCAGGUGAUCUACCCUUGGUCAGGUUGAAGUUCAGGUAACACUGAAUGGAGGACCGAACCGACUUACGUUGAAAAGUGAGCGGAUGAACUGAGGGUAGCGGAGAAAUUCCAAUCGAACUUGGAGAUAGCUGGUUCUCUCCGAAAUAGCUUUAGGGCUAGCCUCAAGUGAUGAUUAUUGGAGGUAGAGCACUGUUUGGACGAGGGGCCCCUCUCGGGUUACCGAAUUCAGACAAACUCCGAAUGCCAAUUAAUUUAACUUGGGAGUCAGAACAUGGGUGAUAAGGUCCGUGUUCGAAAGGGAAACAGCCCAGACCACCAGCUAAGGUCCCAAAAUAUAUGUUAAGUGGAAAAGGAUGUGGCGUUGCCCAGACAACUAGGAUGUUGGCUUAGAAGCAGCCAUCAUUUAAAGAGUGCGUAAUAGCUCACUAGUCGAGUGACACUGCGCCGAAAAUGUACCGGGGCUAAACAUAUUACCGAAGCUGUGGAUUGUCCUUUGGACAAUGGUAGGAGAGCGUUCUAAGGGCGUCGAAGCAUGAUCGCAAGGACAUGUGGAGCGCUUAGAAGUGAGAAUGCCGGUGUGAGUAGCGAAAGACGGGUGAGAAUCCCGUCCACCGAUUGACUAAGGUUUCCAGAGGAAGGCUCGUCCGCUCUGGGUUAGUCGGGUCCUAAGCUGAGGCCGACAGGCGUAGGCGAUGGAUAACAGGUUGAUAUUCCUGUACCACCUAGUAUCGUUUUAAUCGAUGGGGGGACGCAGUAGGAUAGGCGAAGCGUGCUGUUGGAGUGCACGUCCAAGCAGUAAGGCUGAGUGUUAGGCAAAUCCGGCACUCAUAAGGCUGAGCUGUGAUGGGGAGAGGAAAUUGUUUCCUCGAGUCGUUGAUUUCACACUGCCGAGAAAAGCCUCUAGAUAGAUAACAGGUGCCCGUACCGCAAACCGACACAGGUAGUCAAGAUGAGAAUUCUAAGGUGAGCGAGCGAACUCUCGUUAAGGAACUCGGCAAAAUGACCCCGUAACUUCGGGAGAAGGGGUGCUCUUUAGGGUUCACGCCCAGAAGAGCCGCAGUGAAUAGGCCCAAGCGACUGUUUAUCAAAAACACAGGUCUCUGCUAAACCGUAAGGUGAUGUAUAGGGGCUGACGCCUGCCCGGUGCUGGAAGGUUAAGAGGAGUGGUUAGCUUCUGCGAAGCUACGAAUC
rnacentral:rRNA from 1 species